rnacentral:snoRNA from 1 species
UAUCUAUGAUGUGGGCAUUAUAAUAAAAGUGAUUUGAAACGAUCCCAUGCUUCAUAAAAGGAUUCAAUAUCCUUUUGAUAAAAGUUAAAAAUUUCAGGCCUUAGUUC